rnacentral:rRNA from 1 species
GACGAACGCUGGCGGCGUGCCUAAUACAUGCAAGUCGAACGCUGAAGAGAGGAGCUUACUCUUCUUGGAUGAGUUGCGAACGGGUGAGUAACGCGUAGGUAACCUGCCUUUUAGCGGGGGAUAACUAUUGGAAACGAUAGCUAAUACCGCAUAACAAUGUAUAACACAUGUCAUUUAUGUGAAAGGGGCAAUUGCUCCACUACAAGAUGGACCUGCGUUGUAUUAGCUAGUAGGUGAGGUAAUGGCUCACCUAGGCGACCAUACAUAGCCGACCUGAGAGGGUGAACGGGCAACACGGGAACGAGGCAACGGCCCAGACCCCACGGGAAGGAGCCGUAAGGAAUCUUCGGGAAUGGGGGCAACCCUGAACGAGCCACGCCGCGUGAGUGAAGAAGGUUUUUGGGUCGUAAAGACCUGUUGUAAGGCAAGAACGAGUGUGGGAGUGGAAAGUUCACACCGUGACGGUAGCUUACCAGAAAGCCACGGCUAACUACGUG